GCCUUCGUGAUGCAUUGGUGAGCAAGCUGGGCGCAUAUUCCAGAGGUCCGUGGUUCGAGUCCCGGCGAAGACA
rnacentral:tRNA from 1 species